AACGAACGCUGGCGGCAGGCCUCAAACAUGCAAGUCUAGGGGGUGCAGCAAUGCAUCACCGGCGGACGGGUGCGUAACGCGUGGGAAUAUACCUUUUGGUUCGGAACAACUGCGGGAAACUGCAGCUAAUACCGAAUGUGCCCUAACGGGGAAAGAUUUAUCGCCAAAGGAUUAGCCCGCGUAGGAUUAGCUAGUUGGUGAGGUAAUGGCUCACCAAGGCUCCGAUCCUUAGCUGCUGAGAGGAAGAUCAGCCACACUGGGACUGAGACACGGCCCAGACUCCUACGGGAGGCAGCAGUUGGGAAUCUUGGACAAUGGGGGAAACCCUGAUCCAGCCAUGCCGCGUGAGUGAUGAAGGCC
rnacentral:rRNA from 1 species